UGAUGAGAUUGGGCAAAACAAUGUUACUCUUGUUAUACGCGAUAAAACAAGAGUGAAGAUGAUGGAAGUGAGUAGGAAAUCUGGGCAUGUUACACAAGCAAAUGGUGAAGGAUCGUUAGUGUUCACUCACGUAGUUUAAUGGAGUAUUGUAUUUCUGUUAGUGUUUUUUUUUUUUUUUUUUUUUU